rnacentral:rRNA from 1 species
AUGUCUUCCUCCAGUGCUUCCCAGGGCAGCCUCACCGGCCAAAUCACGGAGAAGCUCACCCACGGCAACUAUGUGCUCUGGCGUGCCCAGAUCACACCCCAGCUCAGAGGUGCAGGGUUCUUCGGCUAUGCCGAUGGAACCAUGCUGGAGCCCGUCUAGAUGAUCACCACCAAGGACAAGGACGGGAAGGAAGAAACGUCGUUGAACCCACUUCACUCGAUCUGGGUUAGGGAGGAUCAGCGGGUACUUGGAUACUUGCUUAACAAUCUGUCAAAAGAAGUGCUUGUGCAGGUCACUUCAAUCUCCCAUGCCCACGAGCUAUGGUCUGCAUUGGCGAACAUGUUCUCCUCGCAGUCUGUGGCCCGCGUCAACAACGUGCGCUUAGCAUUGGCCAACGCACAGAAGGGGCAGCAGACAAUCGUGGUGUACUUCGCGCACAUGCGCGCACUGGUGGAUGAGCUUGCCGCCGCCGGCAAACCCCUGCGAGAUGACGAGUUGGGAUCGUACAUCCUCGCCGGCUGGAUAUGGAGUACCAGCAGCUGGUGUCUGCUCUUGACGCCAGAACCAUCCCCGCCUCCCUCGAUGAGAUCUUUGCCAUGA